rnacentral:rRNA from 1 species
AGUGAACGCUGGCGGCGUGCCUAAUACAUGCCAGUCGAACGGAGUGGCGCACGGGUGAGUAAUGUAUAGAUAAUCUGCCCUACACUAGAGGACAACAGGUGGAAACGACUGCUAAUACUCUAUAGUGUAGGAUGAGGUUAUAUUGUAUCAGCUAGUUGGUGAGGUAAUGGCUCACCAAGGCUAUGACGCAUAACUGGUCUGAGAGGAUGAUCAGUCACACUGGGACUUAGACACGGUCCAGACUCUCACGGGAGGAAGCAGUAGGUAAUAUUGCUCAAUGGGGGAAACCCUGAGGCAUCAACGCCGCGUGGAGGAUGACACUUUUCUGAGCGUAAACUCCUUUUGUUAGGGAAGCGGUACCGAACGAAUAAGCACCGGCUAACUCCGUGCCAGCAGCCGCGGUAAUAC